AUGACAGCAGGAGUUGAGAAGAACAA
rnacentral:misc_RNA from 1 species